rnacentral:sRNA from 2 species
UGUGGACGGACGCCGAAUCCUGCCCCCGUCCACUCGGCCGGUACUGGAGCGGACGACACAGGGCAGGAGUGGGGGACCCACCAUCCGGGCGCAUUCGUUGCGUCCUAGGGGUUAAGCCGGCGUACCGAUACAGCCGGGACACACCGGUCCGCGAGGACGGGCCGGGUCCUGGUACGCCGACCGGGCAGCUUCCAGCCCGAACCCGACAGCUCACCCCGCAGGCGACGGGAAGGACACCU